ACAGAGGGGGCAAGCGUUAUUCGGAAUUAUUGGGCGUAAAGGGCGCGUAGGCGGCUUUGCAAGUGACGGGUGAAAGCCCUCGGCUUAACCGAGGAACUGCCUGUCAGACUGUGAGGCUUGAGACCAGGAGAGGUGAGUGGAAUUUCCUGUGUAGCGGUGAAAUGCGUAGAUAUAGGAAGGAACACCAGUGGCGAAGGCGACUACCUGGACUGAUACUGACACUGAGGUGCGAAAGCGUGGGGAGCAAACAGGA
rnacentral:rRNA from 1 species